rnacentral:rRNA from 1 species
GAUGAACGCUGGCGGCGUGCCUAACACAUGCAAGUCGAGCGACCGGACGAUAAGCUUGUUCCCUUGCUGUUAGCGGCGGACGGGUGAGUAACACGUGCAUAACCUACUUCUAAGACUGGGAUAAUUUCGUGGAACCGGAGCUAAUGCUGCAUCAUAUUUUGUACCGCAUGGUUCAAAAGUGAUAGACGGUUUUGCCGUCACUUUUAGAUGGUUCCGCGCUGCAUUAGCUAGUUGGUAAGGUAACGGCUUACCAAGGCAACGAUGCAUAGCCGACCUGAGAGGGUGAUCAGCCACACUGGAACUGAGACACGGUCCAGACUCCUACGGGAGGCAGCAGUAGGGAAUCUUCCGCAAUGGGCGAAAGCCUGACGGAGCAACACCGCGUGAGUGAUGAAGGUCUUCGGAUCGUAAAACUCUGUUAUUAGGGAAGAACAGAUGUGUAAUAAACUGUGCACAUCUUGACAGUACCUAAUGAGAAAGCCACGGCUAACUACGUG